GAAUGUUCAUUUUGGGGAUGCUAAUUUUUGGAGUUAUUAUGUAAUUUGUAGUUUUGCAUUUUAAUGGCAGAUGAGAAUUUAUUGGAUUGUCUGAACAAGAGAUAGAUAGAGAUAACCUCCAAUUGAAAAUGCAAAUUUGGAGCGACUGUGUACGAUAUCCCUAAAAUCGAAAAGCCCUAAACCCUAAAAUCUUCCUUCCGUUCACGAGGUCCCUUUACUUCUACCAUUCUAAAACGUAGUUAUCCCUAACAUUUCCGUCGUCUGUCGUACACCGUCCACUGUGUACAAGAUCCAUUCUCUUCUGCUGUUCGAAAAUGUAUGCAAUUAUGAUGUUUUAGGUACGAUCCCUUAACUUUCAGGUAUCUAUGGCAUGGACUUAUUCAUUGUUUUGGAGCGACCGGGAUACCGUGUUGGACGUCGCAGGAGGUGCAAGCCUCGUGUUGGGACCCAACACAGAGUCACAAAAGAAGAUGCCAUGAAGUGGUUCCAGGAACUAUAGCUGGAGCUUAUGUUGGUAUGGAAUAUGAAGUGGAAAGGAUUCGCAUCACAAGAGAUUGGUAUUGGAAGCAACAAGAAAAUUUACUGCUAGGAAGCUUCAACAACAAACAAAUGUUUGCUAAGACCAUUGAUCCCUCCAUCAAUUCCUCUAUAUAUCAAAGGUCUUGGGAACCCACACAUCCAAUUUCUUUUAUUCCUACAGCAUAACGGGGAAGCCCUUUUGCAACGAUGUCGUUCUAGUUCACAUCGAGGGAUUUGAGUUUGUCCUUGACCUAACACGAGAGGGAAAACUCGAAGAAAUGAAAUCUUCAAGGAUGAGUUCUCUUAUUCAUCAGAAGCAUGCUUUAUGUUGUUGUAAUGUUUAUCCUAUAAAUUGUAUGAUUCGAUCGCUAAUUUAAUGUUUUAUAAAAUUGAUUUUGAAUUACAAAACAAUCAUAUGCUAACAAUUGAGGAAGUGGAAAUUGCAGCAAAUAAUUCAAGAACCUUGUACAGGAUUCUUCAUGAUCGAAAGAAAAAGAAGAUCAACUGGUUUUAUCAUUGUUUUGAGAAAAAUGAAGAGGAAAUGACGAAUUACACUUUAAUUUAAAUAUGGAAAAGAUAUAAGUUGUUAUUUUCUAUAGAAAGGAGACUGUUAAUUAUGAAUCCUUAGCAAUAUUUGAAGGGAGUAUUCAGUAAAAAAGGCCAUGACAAAGUAGGAUUGGUGGUGUUGAAAAUACUACUCGUUAGUACGACAAGAAUAGGAAGAAAUUGAAGGGAAGUGAAAAUCUCGGCAAAGGUAGAGGUAGAAGAAAGCUCGUGAAUUACAAAAAGGGUCCAUAUAUAAUUUGCCAUGGGGAAAUUACUUUGCUUCCAUCUUUCAUGUUUUUCAGUAUUUUGAUUUUUAGCGUUUUUAUUUGAAUUUAUCGAAACUCAUGAAUUAUUUAUAUGUUAUUUUUUAAAAAAUCAUAUAGGACCCUAACUAAGAUUUUAUCUUCUGACUUUUAUUUUUUUUUCUUAUAAUUAUGAUUUAGGAAUGAACACUUGAAAUUAUUUAUUACAGAACUUAGUUUUCCUUUUUCUCUCUAAAAGAAAUAAAAUUAUUAUUUAUU